GGGUGUGGGAGCGAUCUGUCUGCAACAUCUGUCACACCAUUGAAUGCCAGGGUUGAUUCCUCUGAUCUGGCUGGUUAGGCAGGUGUCCCCUUCCUCCCUCACCCUUCAUGAGUGUCCCUUCCAAAGCUGCGUGCUUGACCUUCCCAGAAUAGAGUAGGACUGAUCUCUGGGCAAGGGUAUACAAGUAGCUGUGCUCCCCAGCUAGAACCUCCAAACAAGCUCUUAAUUUAGCAUUUUGAAAAAUAAAAAUGGAAACCGGCUGGUAGUACAUUUUUUUCUAUUACUUAGAAU
rnacentral:snRNA from 1 species